rnacentral:rRNA from 2 species
GAUCAAGUGAAAGAAGGGCAUUUGGUGGAUGCCUUGGCAUGCACAGGCGAUGAAGGACGUGAUACGCUGCGAUAAGCCGUGGGGAGCUGCGAAUAAGCUUUGAUC